ensembl:misc_RNA 7SK 7SK RNA
UAGUGUGUGGGCCAUCUGCCUGUGUCAUCUGUCACCCCACUGAUCGCCAGGCUUGAGUGGCUGAUCUGGCUGACUAGGUAGCUGUCCAUUCCUCCCUUAGCACUUCAUGUGCUUCCAAGCAUCCAGGCUAAAAGAGGACAACUUUCCUCUACUAGGGAAUAAGUUGUAGGUCAAUCCUCUACUAGGAAACAAGUUGUAGGGGCAUUUGCCUGCUAAAUCCUCCAAGCAAGCUCUCAGAAUUUAUUGUAAUAUUAAUCUGAGGACAGAUUCCAGGAAACAUCAAUAGAAGUUACAUGUUGUUUUUUUCUGU